UGGUAAUUAGUUUAAAUAAAAUAAAUGAUUUCGACUCAUUAGAUCAUGGCAUUAACAUGACUACCAA
rnacentral:tRNA from 1 species